rnacentral:lncRNA from 1 species
GAUUGACAAAUGGCGGGAAAAUUCCACGAGGUUAGCGUAAAUACAGGUAAAUUUGGUAACAAAAGACAAAUGUACACUACAAUUCGAUUUACGACACAAAUGCCUCUCUAAAUGAAUAUUUAAAGUUUGUUUUACAAUGAAGAUGAAAUGAGGUUAAAGUACUAAUUAAAGUAAUUUUCUCAAAGAUGAUGAAGAGAAAAAUGUUCAGACUAUAAAAAAAGUUUAUUUUAUAUUUAUAAAUUUUCAAAUUAAUUUUGGAAAAGAAAAAAAAAUGUCAAUAAUUAAUAAUCACAAAUUAUGAGAAAUAUUAUUAAAGUGUUGUAAAAAAACCUACUAAAUUUUAAUACUUUUUUAAAUACCUGUAAAAAAACUGAGUUACAUGGGGUGUGGCAGGAAUCGCAGCAUUUAAAACUUUUUUUGUGUUCAUUUUGAAAAAAAAAAAAUUUUGUUCAAGAAUCUCAAAUUUUAAGAAACAUUUUUAUGAGAAGUGCAACACAAAUGUGGUCAGUGGCGGAUCCAGGGGGGGGGGGGGGGUUGGGGUUCCGGGGGUGCGCACCCCCCUUUAUUUUUGCCGAUCAAUGCAUUUGUAUCGGGACAUAUGUUUUGCACCCCCCUGCACCCCCCCUUUGCCCUGGGUUAGCACCCCCCCUUUCGAAAAUUCCUGCAUCCGCCCUAGUCCAAAUAAUUAUGACGUCUUGAAAGGCUAUUAUAAUUUUUUUCUUUGACGCCUUACUUCGUCGAAGUAAGGCGUCAAAGAAAAAAAUUAUAAUAGCCUUUCAAGACGUCAUAAUUAUUUGGACUACAUCCGCCCCUGUGUGGUACAGUUGAACUUAAAAGGCUUAUAUCUAUCUUUAUAUGGCAUUUCAGAAUUAUUUUUUUUUGCUUGGAUUUCAAUGAAAAAUGAUUCAAAAAUGAUAUAAGAUAAGAUAAGAUAAGAUAAGAUAUUUUUAUUUCCAAUUAUGGGCCCCAAAGGGCAUAAACAUUACAACAUCAAUAAUUUUUCAUAAUACAAUACAAACAAUGAGAUAAAAAAAAAAAAAAAAAAGUUAAACGAGAACUAUUUAAGUUCUUAAAGAAUACGUAGAUAAAGAAUCUAUAGUAUGUUAUAAACAUAACCUUUUGAAAAUCAUGUUCAUUGGAAAUUCCUGGCUAUGGGCCUCUGUAUUGCAUUUUUUGUAUCAGAACUAAGUUUUUAGUUGCAUAUAAAUAUAACAACAUAUGGUAUAUAACUAUAAUUGCCAAUAUUAGACAACUAUCCAGCAGGGACCAAAAGAAUAAAUACACCCAAAAUGUGCAAGCCUGUCUCUUUAUGAUAUCUUAGUUUCUAGUAUAAAAUCUAGUCUGUCUUUUUCGGAACAAUCUCAGGUAAAUGGUCAUGAUAUAUAGAUCAUCCUAUCCUAUCAAGUCUUUGCCGUGGCAAAAGUUUUAAACUUUACGUUUAACAUGCUGUAAAAUUCUAAAAAUGCUUGCUUGCAUUUAUCAUUGUAGAUUGAUUAAAGUUAACAAAUUGAAGGACAUUAAUUUUGGAUGGAAAUAAUAAUCUCAAUUUUUGUGAAAAGCUACUUUUUUUUUUGGCAAAACCUCUCCCAUGCAAUUUUCCCGGAUCUACAGAUUUUUGGAAAGUUUGCUAUAGCUUGCUAUUGCUACUUUCCAUUUCCAUCGGCCUCAAACUUAUGGUGACAGAUUAUCGCCAUUUAUUCUGAUCCGAGAUAAUUUAGUACUAGUACUAGUGUUUGAAUUCUGAUUCUUGGAAGGUUCUUUUAAAAUUUUGAGUAACUUCUCAUUUGACUGAAAAGAUUACAGCUUGAAUAAAAAAGAAUUGAAUGUUCACCGACGAUUCAGAUGAAUUUAACUUCAUUUUGAAAAUGAGUAUCUCAAACACUACUUCGCGGAUCUGCCAUACGCUGAAGAGAAAAUCACAAGAAAUCUACGCCAGAUUGCGUCAGUUUCAUUCAUGAAAAUUUCAUGAAUGAACAUUUUCCACUCUACUUUUACCUGUUUACUAUGUACGUACGUAAACGUGGUAAAAGCCCGAGAGUAUCGAAAAAAUCGGGAAUGUGACCAAGCCGUCGGAUAAUUGACAAGUGAUAAUGGUUUGUUAUAACAAAACACAGGUGAUAGAAUAUAAAAUACUCGAUAAUUAUAUGUCUAAUGUCUCAGUAAUAGACGAGUACAGGUAAAUACGGUACCGGCUUUCAUAAAAAAAAAUAGUUUUAAAAUGCAUUGUGUUUGUCUAAACAUUGAUCGAAAGGUUUUGAUGCCAAAAAUCAUUUGAAAACUUUUAAUUCCGUUAUUUAAAUACAUUCCAAUGUGGAUAUAAGAGCCUUCGCUCGUUCAGCAUGCUCAAGUGGAUCAAACUGACAGCAGAAAAACAUUGACCCAACGUCAAUUCUUCUUCAGUCUUCCUCCAAUAAUUUACAUCAUACCACCUCUGGUGUAUUAUCGCAAAUUCGUAUCAUAUAGCAUCCAUAUUAAAAACAACCGAGUUAGCAUCUACUUAAUCUUAGAAUAACCAUGGAAGUAAUAUUGAAUUUAAAUAUUACUUCCAUGGAAUAACAUAGCUCAGGAUAUGAAGACAAGUGCUGUAGAAAUGAUUUCAUGAAAUUAUGAUGAUGUGUACCCUUUGGCUAAAAUGGCUGCAUUUUCACCUCAAAAUUUAUAUAGAUUACAGACAAACACGUGCAUAGUAUGCCCUAUUUAAAUAGAAAUGUAAUUGCUUUGUCAUCCAAACACAGAGGCAAUGAUUACCAUAAAUAUCACAAACGAAUGGCUUACAACAAAAAAUUAUGAAUCUAGCGUAUAUAAACUUUUUAUUCCUGUGGUCAUACUGCUGUUGUUAUGCUCCCACCGUAUUGAGUUUUAUCCUUGUUCUUCUGUAAGUAUGUACAUUCUUCCCUUACUUAUAAGUACCUCUGUAUAUAUCCCAAAAUUCGUUUCUGUUCUCUUACUUUAGCUUGCCUGAACCAAAUUGUAUGAAACUGAUACGCAAUGCUUAUAACCACAAUUCACAAGUCAAAUUUGAAUUUUAGUUGCGUAACUUUUACCAUUUUAGCGUUUAAUGCUACUUUACAAAAAGAAAAGUUGCUGUAAAUUUAAGUUUCUGUUCUCUAAGUAUAGUUUGUCUUAACCAAAUGUUAUGAAACUUAUACACAAUUCUCAUUACCACAAACACUGAUCAAGUUUGAAUUUUGGUGGAUUUAUUUUUACUGCUCUAGGGUUGUGCCGUGUUACAAAUGAAACCAGAUGCUCUGCAGGGCAAAGCUUUAUACGACCGCAGAAGUCGAACCCUGAACAGUUGGGACAAGUAUGGCCACAACAUUCAGAGCUCCAGAUAAGAAUUCACAAAUUGGGUUUUUUACCCACCAUUUUCAUAUAUAAUUGGGUGAUAAAGUUUUCUAAUUGCAUUAUCAAUUCCAAUUCACCCCUCAUGUUAAUAUCAAAUUGGGUUUUUCACCACCAAGCUCCUUAAUGUAUUGGGUUUUUCAUCAACACAAUAUGAAUAUUUAGGAACACAAUAUGAAUAUUUAGGCAAUAGCAACCCCAGAUUUUUUUCCAUCUUAAAUAUGUUUCUUUCUUUGUUUAGCUGUUUUAUUUGGUUUAGGGUUAGGGUUAGGGCGAGGGUUAUGGUAAUUUGCUAGCUGUUUUAUUUGGUUUAUUUCACUGAGGAGCAAUUGUAGGUUUAAUUUGUGUUCCGUUUUAAACCUUCUGCCAGUUUUGUAUUUUCUCAUAUAAACUGUAAAAAAACGGAUAUGUGUAUUCACAGGCACUCGUCUUAUACCUUUAUAUAAUAAAUUCUGAGACCAGUGCCUGACUGUGUGUAUUCAUUAAUAAACCGUAAAACGAAGAAAAAAAAUAGUAUAUAAACUCUAAUUAUACUUGAAUGUUUUUGUUUUAUUCCAAUUUUCAUAAAUCUUGGUUUAGUAGAACUUUUGGUUUCUGAUGUUUUAUCAUGUUAUAAUUGAUUUGGCCUUUCACUUUUUCCAACUGAUUUCGUUUUUGAGGAAACCCUGUUUUUAUUAGCAAUGUGUAAGGUACGCACACACGCCCGUGUGUUCGAUGGAUGCUUCCUAAAAACACUGGCUGAGUCUUGUUAUCAUCAUAACUUUCCCUCAGCUUUUCAAAAGAAGCAGAAAACAUGCUUCUAUUCAAUAUUUUUAAUGAACGGACAUUCACUUUCGUUUUAAUUCAAUGUAUGUUAUGAUAAAUCCCGAGCAAUGCGAAAAAAUAUGACUACAUUACACACGCUAAUUGGAUAAACACCGAGAAGUUGGAAACGUUUUCAAAAACACGUGUACCUAUUGAGCAACGGAAAACUCUAACAGGGACCCAUUUCAGCUACUUGAUGCAGGGAUCUAUUUUUAGAACGAAAGGAAGUUUCCAAUUAUAAAUAUUAUAAAAAUAGUUGACGCGACGACUGUAAACAGAUAAUGGUAAAUAACGCAAAUGGUAGCCAAUAUAAGGGUUGAGAACUCAUGGUUUUGGCAUGUAAUUGGGUUUUCCUUUGAAUUAAUUGGGUUAUUGAACCCUGCAAUGGGCAAUUGCAUUGGGUUUUUUAUUAUUUGUAUUGCGUGAUUACGCAAAUACGCAGCUUAUCUGGAGCUCUGAACAUUCAAGCUUUAUACAGCUCUGACUUUGGAUUGCGAUCAAAUUGUUGACAUGACAUAUUGUUUUCUGACACAAAACAAAUUUCAAGAUCUUACAAUUCUAUUGCGCAAUACUGUAUAAUUAGAAUGAAUACACAAUGUUUAUUAACCCAUUAUUCAUAUCAAGUAAAAUUAAAUUUUGGUAGUGUCACAUUUACAGUUCUUGAGUUUAUAAUGCUAAUGCCCGCACCUUUUUUUUUCAAACAUAUUUUUUUUUUUUUUUUAUAAUCCCGCUUCCCGCAUCCGGAAAUGUAAUCAGUCCAUUUCCCGCACCAUUUUUUUUUUUAAAUAUUGUACAAAGAUAUCAACUUUUGUUUUUAAAAUCACAGUCUAACCGGUAUAACGAUUUUAAACACAAAAGCACCCUGUGAGAAUAUUUGUUUCAGCAUGAAACCUGUUUAUCCAAAGUGGGAGUGCUCCGAAAUAAAUUAACAACAGCGGAAAUACCUAUAAAGAACAAAAAAUUGGUUUCUUUCCCCCUUACUUAUUCGCUAUCAAAAAAUGUUCGUUGUUAGAAUAAAGUACAAAGAACUUCUGAAGGAUUUGCCUUCAACUGCAAUUAUAUUGUAUGCUGGCAAAACAAAACUAUCCAUAGCCGCUGCAUGUUUAUGCACCUGUCCUGAUUGAUUCAGGGGCCUGUCGUCAGCAGUUAUCGUUUGUUGAUGUUGUUCAUUGGUAUUUUCCCAUUUGGAUAUAUAAAUUAGAUCGUUGGUUUUCCUGUUCGAAUUGUGUACGCUAAUAAUUGUGGGGUCCUUUAUAGCUUGCUGUUUGGUCUGUAUCAAAGCCCGUACUUUGACCUGUGUUUGUUAUUAUCAGGUUGAGAACAACCCUCCCUCUGAAAAGGGGUCAUUUUACUGAUGUAAAAAAGAAAAUAUAAAUACCAAGGAUUUGUAUAGUUCUUCUAUACAAAACCUUUGAAAACUUAGAAUUUUGUACUCAAAAAGAGGAGAGUUACAUCAUAUUUUAAACAACUUUUUAUAAAAGAGGAGUCUAUUUAUUUUGAAUAAUAUUAAACUGUUAAAAAGUAAAUGUGUUAAUUUAACAUGGUUAAAGUCCAGGAAUAUUACAAAAUUCUUGGACAUGUUUUGACCAUUUAAUACCAGAUAGAUAUAUAGUUCUUUGAGAAAAUAUGAGCCCUUUUGUACAAACACAUAUAUUAUAACUUAUAUUGAUCCCUCAUAAAACAUGUAAAAGGGAUAUUUAUAACAAUAAGGGGUUGCCCCCAAACUGAUUAUGACUUGAUGGAGAAUUGUCUCAUUGUCAGUCACUCAUACAUAGACCAGAUUUAAUAAUUUCUUGGUGAACAGGGAAAAAAUACUUCAGAAAUUAAAGAAAUGUCAAGCUACACGUGAUAAAUCAAGUUUUAAUAUUGUCAAAACCUACUAUUUUAUGUUUACAAAAAAAAAAAUUAUAAUCGCCUUUACUUUUCAAGCUUCGCCUCAAAAAUUUGCAAAUUAAAUAUUUUUUUAUUAAAAUUUUCAAAUCGCUCGCUCGCCCCAAAUUUUGGAGUCCAAAAACCCGUAGAACAAGAAAUUAAAUUGGUGUGGCCUUAAUAUAAAUUCACUUUCUUUACAGUUGUCUUGAUUUAAGUUACUGUAACUGUCUUAUUUAUAAGUAAGGAUGCAGUAUUGUUUGCAAAGAACCAAUGCUAUCCAAAAGAGUUCAAAGAAUGAAAAUGUAUUCAUAACUAUAGUCCACAAUAAAGGUUGUCAAUAAUGAGAAAUGUUUGUACCACAUACAUGUAGAAAGCUUUAAAAGGCCCCGAUAUGAAACAUGUGGAACAAUUCAAACAAAAAAAACUUGCGUGUUAAUUUACUAAAAACAAAUAUGAAGGCCCUAAACCAAUAGAAAAAUACUAAUUCACAGGCCCUUGAAGUUGACAUGGCAUGGGUACUUAAAAAAAUUAACAGAGCUUUCUGCAUGUAUAUUUCAUUAUUUUAGAUCUACAGUUUAAGGUUGCAAUCAUGAGAAAAUAUCAAAACUUUUUAUGAUAAACAUAAAAAAGUGAUUUUUGAUAAUUACUGACGAGACAAUGGUUUAGUUUAAAACAUCAAAGCUGUGAUGAAAUACAUAUUUGAAAUAAUACACGUCUAUAACCUUUUUGGAAUAAUACACAGCUACAGUUGCAAACUUUCCAGAGGUGCUAUCCAGCACUUUGAUUUUUAUUGUAUCUCAGACCUGUUAUUUGAAUAAAAAGCUACCACUAAAUUAUGGAAAAAUGGAAUAUCCAUCAAACAUUAUCUCUGCUUACAUUACAGAAUUAAAAAAAAUUUAUCAGGGUAAUUCAAACCUUGGGAUAUGUUUCACUGCAGUAAGCAACAUACAUGCAUCACAAGAUGAACAUAUUGUCAUAACUAUAGUAACACUUUGUUUAGCAGAGAAUCAUAUUGAAAUUAAGCUGUAGAAUCUAUUUAGAUAAGCUUAUCCAUUUGUCUGUAUCAGCAUGGCUUGUGUCAGGUAGGAGUUUUUGUUGUAGGUAGAUAAAUACUACAUAGACGGAAGCACCUGUCUCAAUCAGGUGAAGACUGUAAAAAUGAUAUGUUACAUCUGACUUCUGUGUUUGAAAUUGGUAAAAAGAUAUCAGUUAUUUCUAUGCUCUUAUUUUCUUUGCAGUAAUUCCAGUAUGAAGGGAGAGUUGAAAGAUAUAAGAAUAUAAGUGAAUGACCAGUAUAUUUAUUGUAUCUUCCAUUUGUUGGAGGGUAAGCAUAUGCAGUAUAGAUCUUUCCAGUGGCAGAUCCAGAAAUUUUCAGAAGUGGGGGCCCACUGACUGACCUAAGAGGGGGCCCGCUCCAGUCACGCUUCAAUGAUUCCCUAUAUAAGCAACCAAUCUUUUCCCCAAAAAGGGGGGGGGGGGCCUGGGCCCCCCCUCUCAAUCCGCCUCUGCUACCAAUUAUCUACAUCAUACCAUAUCAUCUCAUUUUAUAUUACAGGAUCUUUUUGACUUUUUAUUGACACAUAUGACAUUUGAGAUAGCCUAAGAAAAGUUUCGGAAAAAAGAAGUUGAAAAGUCCUGGAAUAAUGUAGCUAGUUGAAUAGUUCUGGCAGAACAGAACAACUAGUUACAUCGUUCUGAAUAUACCAUAUUUUGUUCUUUUUGUAGAAAGAGGGGGAAGAAUGAGUAUCAGUAUAUAUAUAAGAGCAAAUCAUUAAUUUACAAGAAUACCCAAGGCACUGACUUGACUAAUUUGGCAAAAAGUAGUUGAUAUGUUCUGUUGGAACUUUUUAACAUGUCACUUUGUUCCGGUGGAACUUUUAAACCAGAGUUAGAACAAAGUAACUAGUUAAUAAAUUCCUCUGGAACUUUUCGGCAGUUAGUUCUUUCCGCCUGGAACUUUCCAACGUCGGAACAAAAGAGCAUUUACAUAUAUCAACCCCCCUCCUUUUGAUUGUCAAAAUAUUUUUAAAUUUUGUUUUUCAUGAAAUGUAUAAACCUUAAAGUUUAAAAAUAAAUCUUUCAAAUUUUGUUUAUAUAUACCCAGCAUUCAUACAUAGCAAAUUGCUCCCCCUUUUCUAAAAUCCUGGACCCUCCCUUGAUAUUAAGGUUAAAAGGGUUACAGUUAAAUAUUGAAAGUGAUUAUGAAUCAAUUACAUUCUUGUUAUCACAUUUUAUUUAGAAUCCAUCAACAAUAUAGAUAGUAUACUGAUACAAGCAAUAUUAUUCAACUGUUUAAAUAUUGGAAUAUAUGCAAAUUAGAUUAUGAAUAAGGUAACUUGAGGGGAGAUAACUGGACACAGACUUGUGGCUAUAGAUAAGACAGGGAGAUAGACAAUCUAUAUAGAUUAAACUUUAGAACCCUGCUGACUAUAUUUCCUCACCAGAUAUCAAUAAUUUCCAUAUACUUAAACAUUUACAUGAUGUAUGUAUAGUUAGUACUGUUUGGGAUACUGAGUUUUUGAUGGGGCACAAACAAGCACCUGUUCUGACAUUUUAUUGUUGAAGUUUAAGGAAUAGCCUUGCCAACUUUGUGUUGUAAUGUUGUAUUCUUUGUUGGCACAAGAUAAAUUUAAUGUUCUGUUUAAAUUUUGAUUUCUAUACAGACGGAAAUAGAAUUGCUGUGUUGAAUUGAUUGUGAAGGGUGAAUUAUUCUAUUGAUAAUGUGCAGAACUGAUUGAAAUUAAACUGGAAAAUAAACCACUGAAAAAGG